rnacentral:rRNA from 1 species
GACGAACGCUGGCGGCGUGCUUAACACAUGCAAGUCGAACGAAGUGGCGAACGGGUGAGUAACGCGUAAUCAACCUGCCCUUCAGCGGGGGACAACAGUUGGAAACGUCUGCUAAUCCCGCAUACUGAAGGAGGGGAUUGCGUCUGAUUAGCUCGUUGGAGGGGUAACGGCCCACCAAGUCGAUGAUCAGUAGCCGGUCUGAGAGGAUGAACGGCCAAAGUGGGACUGAGAAACGGCCCAGACGCCGACGGGAGGCAGCAGUGGGGAAGCUUCCGCAAUGGACGAAAGUCUGACGGAGCAACGCCGCGUGAGUGAUGACGGCCUUCGGGUUGUAAAGCUCUGUUAAUCGGGACGCGGUACCGGAAUAGAAAGCAACGGCUAACUACGUGCCAGCAGCCGCGGUAAUAC